GUUUGACCACCGUUACAUCACGAGAUAUCAAAAGAAUUUCGCAUUGGCUCCUUCCUUCGCUGGGGGGAGCAGGGCGUCCUCGGCUCGAGAACGGAACGGCCCCGGAGGCCCUGCCGGAAAAGAGAAGGAAGGAAAACAAAAGACACCCCGAAGUCUGAGCAGCAGUAAACACCCUUCGAGUCCCCCUAAUUAGUGGAAAAUCCUCUCGGAGGACAGGCAGCGAGUAUCGGUGCCGGGAGGCGGCGCGCGGCGCUGAUAACGCCGCUGCCUGCUAUUCUCCGCGGAGCUGGCUGCUGGAAGACCGCUCCGUACCUCAUCCCCUGAUGCUUCUGAUGCGGGUGAUCCUCCGACUGCACGGCGCCAACCACAACAUGCUACCCACCGUGAGAGAGCAGGACACAGGCUGCUCUAGUCAGGAGUUAUCGUCUAUCAUACUGAUUGACGAAACCAAGAGUGAGCAGAAAAAAUAAACACGAACAGAGGCUGCAGUGUAUGGGGCAGUCAGCUGGGAGUUUUAGUAUUUGCCCUUGGUGAUCCUACUCUCAUGGUCUGAAGGAGCCCGGAUUGAGAUUGAACGUUCAGCUGAUGGAAUUAAGUUCCCAAACCUUCGCGAGAGGCCAACGUCACCUUUAUCUGCUUGCCUCAACUGCUGCUUUCUAAACUAUUUACAAGGCUUCUGCAAACCUGCAUUCAUUAGGGUAGGAUAUUUCAGGCACAGCAGGUGGCCAACAGGAGACCAGGCCUGUUUGUGAAAUAUGUAAUACUUUUUUCAUAUACUUUAACCAGAAAUGUGCACCUCAACAGCUCUCCUAACUGUUCUAAUUUCCCUUUCUCCUCUUAAUCUCUUCUGCGAGCCAUGAGUAUGCAUUAAAAUCUACCUAAAACAUUUCACCCAGAGGCAAUGUAAUUCCGAAACAAGUAACCAACAUUUCACAGCUCUGGAGUAAUAGAUUAAUUUGAACCUAAUGUUGCCGUCGUUUACUGCUCCAAAUGUUCUGGUGUAGACAUAGCCUUGAGGCACGGCGUUGUGGCAUGCGCAGCUCCUGGAACCAAAGUUACAGUUGGCUAAACAUCUGUGCAUCACAUUUGCCAUGUGCCUCAUUAUCCUGCGCCCCACUGUGCCUACCUGUCCCAAUCAGCUUCUCAGCCACAGGCUAUCCAAUUUUUUUCCCAACUAAGAAUCUUUGUUCUCCUUCUCACUUACUAAAUUUUUGCGAGACCUCUGCACCCGAGCAGUAGGGAUUCUGUGCAUGUGAACCUCCGAGGUUCUCUAGCUUCUUAAUUCUCCAUUAGGAACAGGAAAAUUACAACAUUAAGUCUCCGACAUGUCACUGCAUAAAUUGUACCAUUUGCAGAAUCUAAUAUAAAGUCUGUGACUAAGCACAUAAGCAUGUAAUA